ACAUUUAAAGAGUGCGUAAUAGCUCACUGGUCAAGUGGUAGAGCGCCGAAAAUGAACGGGGCUAAAAUCUAAUACCGAAGCUGUGGACUAAUUAAAUUAGUGGUAGAGGAGCAUUGUGUAAGGGGUGAAGCUAAGUUGGAAGACGAAGUGGACUUUACAGAAGAGAGAAUGCUGGCAUGAGUAGCGAAAAGGAGGGUGAGAAUCCCUCCCGUCGAAAGCCUAAGGAUUCCUGAGGAAGGCUCGUCCUCUCAGGGUAAGUCGGGACCUAAGCCCAGGCUGAAAAGCGUAAGCGAUGGACAACAGGUUGAGAUUCCUGUACUAUCUUUGAAUGUUUGAGAGAAGUACUGACGCAGGAGGAUAUGUUGAGCGUGUGAAUGGUAGAGCACGUCUAAGCAAGUAGAUAGAGAAUAGAGGCAAAUCCCUAUUCUUAAUAUCGAGAUGUGAUGGGGAGCGAAAAACAAGUAGUGAAGCAACAAAUUCCAAACUGCCAAGAAAAGGUACUAUUGAGUGAGAAGAUACCCGUACCAAAACCGACACAGGUAGGCAAGGAGAGAAUCCUAAGACGCGCGGAAGAACCUUUGUUAAGGAACUCGGCAAAAUGACCCCGUAACUUCGGGAGAAGGGGUACCAUUAGAUGUGAUAUACAUACGUAUGGAGCAUAGAGUGGUCGCAGAGAAUAGGCCCAAGCAACUGUUUACCAAAAACACAAGUCUCUGCUAAAUCGAAAGAUGAAGUAUAGGGGCUGACACCUGCCCGGUGCUGGAAGGUUAAGGGGAAAUGUUAGAGCAAUCGAAGCAUAGAACUUAAGCCCCAGUAAACGGCGGCCGUAACUAUAACGGUCCUAAGGUAGCGAAAUUCCUUGUCGGGUAAGUUCCGACCCGCACGAAAGGUGUAAUGAUUUGGGCACUGUCUCAACAAAGGAUCCGGUGAAAUUGUAGUAGUCGUGAAGAUGCGACUUACCCACGAUAGGACGGAAAGACCCCGUGGAGCUUUACUGUAGGCUGGCAUUGGAAUUUGGUAUUAAAUGUACAGGAUAGGUGGGAGACUGAGAAACGAGAGCGCCAGUUUUCGUGGAGUCAAUGUUGGGAUACCACUCUUUUGAUACUAAAUUUCUAACUUGAUACUCUGAAGCGAGUAUAAGGACACUGUCAGUUGGGCAGUUUGACUGGGGCGGUCGCCUCCUAAAGAGUAACGGAGGCGUUCAAAGGUUCCCUCAGAAUGGAAGGAAAUCAUUCAAAGAGUGCAAAGGCAAAAGGGAGCUUAACUGCGACACCAACAAGUGGAGCAGAUAGGAAACUAGGACUUAGUGAUCCGGUGGUACCGAGUGGAAGGGCCAUCGCUCAACGGAUAAAAGCUACCCCGGGGAUAACAGGCUUAUCUCCCCCAAGAGUUCACAUCGACGGGGAGGUUUGGCACCUCGAUGUCGGCUCGUCUCAUCCUGGGGCUGGAGUAGGUCCCAAGGGUUGGGCUGUUCGCCCAUUAAAGAGGCACGCGAGCUGGGUUCAGAACGUCGUGAGACAGUUCGGUCCCUAUCCAUCGUGGGCGAAGGAAAUUUGAGAGGAGCUGUCCUUAGUACGAGAGGACCGGGAUGGACAGACCGCUGGUGUAUCAGUUAUCAUGCCAAUGGUAAUGCUGAAUAGCUAAGUCUGGAAGGGAUAAGUGCUGAAGGCAUCUAAGCACGAAGCCCCCCUCAAGAUGAGAUUUCCUGUUGC
rnacentral:rRNA from 1 species